GGCACAUCCAUUGUCCAGGGAGAGGACCUGUUGGGUGAUAAAAGCCCUGCUCCAAGGCUGCCUCCAAGCUUGUCACACAUUUUGGACAAUGACCAUAAGCACCCAGAGGAGACGAUAGUUGCGAGGGAAGCAGCUGUUUCCGUGUCCACUGUCCUCCAAGAGGAGUUUUUGGCUUGUAAAAGUCCUCCUGCACCCGCAGCACUGCCUCUAAGGCUGCCCUGUACCCACUGCAUUGACCACAAACAGCAAGAGGAGACAGUUGAGGACAACACAGAGCGCUUAGUUGACACAGAGGAAAGUGCAGUUUCAUCCACUGUCAAGAGAGAGGAACUGACAGGUGAUGCAAACCCUGUCCUACCACUUCCUCCAAGCCUGGCAUGCAUCCAUGACAAAGACCACAACGAGCCAGAUCAGAAAGGGAGGGGCACUACUAAGGAGGUGUAUCUCUGCCCUCACGCUCACCAGCUGGACCCAGAUGCUAACUUAACUCUGUCAACCCACAAUGAUGAACCCAGGACCUGGACCUUGGAAGAGACAAAGGAUUAUAGGAUAGGCAUUGACAUUGAGAGUGAAGAGAGGAGCGUCCAGGAGGAGGUGAGACCGAGGGAGGGGUUGAAGUGUGAUGCGGAC
rnacentral:lncRNA from 1 species